UUAUCCACAAAUGACAGGUGGACCUUGAUGUGGCCAUCGACAGAUCACCACCCUCAGCUCCUCACAGGGGAAAGCCUCUGGUCACCUUCUCAUUGUCGACCUGUGCAGGAGAACCAGCGGGUGAUGAAUCUGUGACUCGUGUCUGCCAGUGGCUCUGCUGAUAGAGAGAAGCCAGUUUCUGUGUUCCUGAGAAAUCUUUCGAGCUAACUGUGUUGGCAGAGUGGUUCUCUGGGUCCUGUUGGUGCUCCAGCUGGCAGACAUCAGCCACGUUCCCUGCCCACUGUCAUUGGCAGGAGUCCAGGAGAGCAUAAAUGGGCAAGUUGGGGAAGGAAGCAGAGCUCUGGUUCUUGGCCCUGUCUGCUCUGCCAACCCAGAAGCCAAGCGGUCUGGCGUGUCUGGGCGGCGGGCAGAGCUACCC
rnacentral:lncRNA from 1 species